CAGGACCUGAGUUUCACCUUCUGCAAAAUAAUGAGGUUGGCAUCUCAUGAUCCUAGGACUUUAACUCUUUUUUUUGGAGAUUAGAACAUAGUGUAUAAGACAUUUAUUGCCCACCCGUGAAGUGCUCAUUUGAUGAUACAAAAUGUUGUCGAUGAAGUUUUUUUCAAGAGUUUUCAGUGUCUAACCAGCAAGGACCUCCUGUAGAGCACAGGGGACUCUGCUCAAUGUGAUGUGGCAACCUGAAUGGGAGGGGAGUUUGGGGGAGAAUGGACACAUGUGUAUGUAUGGCUGAGUCCUGUUCGCUGUCCACCUGAAACCAGCACAUUGUCAAUAGGCUAUAACCCAAAACAAAAUAAAAAGUGUUUUUUAAAAAGAGUUUCCAGUGUAUGUGGGGUGAUGUGCAUUUAGAAAAUGUGUUCUAAAAACAGGGAUAAGGUCAACAUAACUGAACAUACUUAAAAGACAUUUAUCUGUGUCCAAAUGGGUUUUUCCCUGCCCCAGAAUUGUAGCUAGAGAAAGGUCCUGCGUGCAUAUUACAAAGACAGUCUUGAGCACAUGAGGCCUGUGCCGCCUGCCUAGGGCUUACUGGGAGGGACCAGAACCACGUGGGUCCCAGUCCCACCAUCCACUGUCAUGAGAGUGGGUAGGGGAAUCUUCAUUGAGUGAACAGCGCAGUAUCCCAGGUGAGAGACCAUUGCCUCCCAUUCCUUACCCAUUCCUAAAGCCAAACAAGAGGGCUUCCAGGAGAAUUUGUGUUAAAGAUGGGAGGGAAAUUUAAGACAUGGAGAUUGGCCGCUCGCUCCUUGACUGGGCAUGUGCCAAGCUGUCAGCCUCCAGGGGCACCCCGAUUCUCCUGUCUGUGCCCAGCGAAUGUUUUCAGGGUUAGUGGAGGAGCAGACUGGAAUCCUAGGGCAGAGCUUACAUUGUCCUUUUCAGUCUCAGGUUUGGAGAUGUCCUUAGACCAACAGAAUUCAGAGCUAGAGAUUUCUGAGGAUGAAGGGUCCAUCAGAGGAGGCCAGGCUAGCAGGCUUGAUGGGUUUUAAUACAAGAUGUUUGGGGAAAGGACUGGGCAGCUAGCACCUCAUUCCAGUUCUCCAUCGGCCUUACGGGGUGCAGAAGAGAGGACUCCAGCAGUCCUGGCUACUCCCCAUCAAGAGUGACAGUUUUCCCUGAGAAGAAGCAGUGAGCCUGCCACAUGAGCGGAGAAAUGGUGGCACCCUUCUGGGUGAGGUCGUCGGUCGUGGAGGGUGCUGGGUGAAAGCUAAUCUUUUUCUCUGAAUGUCUUCACCUACUUGGCAGCCACCGGCAGUGGACAGACCUAGACUGAGUGAGAGCGAGUUUGGGAAGGGCCCCUUACCACGCAAGGAGACUCUGGUCCACCACCCCUCUCUCUUCCCAACACUUGAGAGACAUAAAGCUAGAAAAAGAAGAAGGAGCAGGUGUCUAACGGCGUCUAAACCAGCUGGCAAGGCUUUCUGGUCUCUAUCAGGUACUGGAAAUCUACUGAGUCUGCUCCAUGCUGUUAAGGGAGCUACUGCCCAGUGGGGAAGAGGGAAUCCACGUAGCCCAAAUGCAGGCAGCUCCCGUUCCAUAUUUAUGCUCUGCUAAGCUGAGAAAAUUUAAACAUUAAGUUAAAGUGUCAUGAUGGCAAACUAACUCUGCUUGGGAACACUCAAGGAUUCAGUCGAAUAGAGGAGACAGGCUCCAUUAACUUUAGGACAAAUACAACUGAUAAGUGAUAGAGGUAAAAUAAAAUGCGGGUGGGGGCCGGAUGCUUAGGCAGACUGGAUGGAUUCUGGUUGGAAGUGAUUGGCUGCUCUGAAGAGGUGACAUCUGAGCUGGGAAGGAGGAAUUUGAAAGAAGGAAAAAAGGGUGGGCUUUCUCGGUAGAAGAACCAGGAUCAGUAAGACACAGAGAGCGAAGAGUGAGUAAUCGGUUCUGAUUAGAACAGAGAAAGGGAGGGAGGGAGGUUAGAAUUUAAGGCUGUCCCAACUUGCUUCCCAGGUGGGUUCUUUAGCACUAGCGCCACUUGGGAAGCCCAAAUGUACGGUAGGUUUUUGGAAAUUUCAGUAUUGAAUUGGGGAGGGGAGUUUUGGCUGGAUACUUGAGAGUAUUCCAUGGAUAGUAAUCUUUGCAUCCUGAAAGUGUCUGGGGGCAGCAUGCCCUAUUAUAAGACUGAG
ensembl:lncRNA